GUACUUGCUCCCACAGCACAUAUAAUAAAAUUGGAAUGAUACAGAGAAUAUUAGCAUGGCUCCUGUGCAAGGAUGACAUGCACAGUUGUGAAGUGUUCCAUAUUUUG